AAGCAUAGAGGACUGUGACUUAUUGCAAGUGUUUUGCUUCAGGAUACAUUGAUUCAUCAACUGGUGUCAUAUAGAUAACCAUCAUGUUUGUUUUUGAAGCAUUUCUGUUCAUUAGAAAAAACAAAGUCAUGAGUCCUUUUUCAUUUUCGAGUGGAGUAUCCCUUUAAGUAAAUAUUCUUUGUAUGUGUACUGUAUGUGGUUUUUUUGUUUUUGUUAUUUUACUUGCUCGGUUUUCAGAUGACUUCAAUUCAAAUGGGCAAAAUCAUACAUCAAAUAACAAUUUCCAGUUAAAUGUCCUCAUGAAACUGGAUAAAAUAAUUGCAAAACAGGAAGAGCAUUCUCUUUUGCUUCGGCGGCUACUGCAGACAAGAGAGGAAGACACGGGGCCAGAGAACCCUAUCCCAUCUAUUGGUCAGUUACCUGACUUGCUCUCCUUUGAGGAUAAGCUGAGGGUGGACGAAGAGCUCCAAAGAAAAACGGUUAAAUACCUUUCUACAAUUGGAGGACCAAACUAUGGA